rnacentral:lncRNA from 13 species
CCUGUAGGUAGCGCGGACAAAACACUCGCGCUUGUGCGUGUCCAUACAUUCUGUCGGUGUGAGUGACACAGUAAGUGUGAAACUUCCAGUGAGAACUACCUUGACAAAGUGAGACAACCUUUCAACGAUUUUUGUAUAAACAUUUGAGACUACUUUUUACGACCUAUUGCUGUCAAUCGAAGGAUACAACGAUCGCAAAAUGCCAUUAUUCAAAGUAGAAUCACCUAAUCACAAAAGAAUCAUGAUAAAAGCAAAUAGUAUAUCCGAAAUAAUUGAAAUUGCAAUAAAAAAAUUAAAACUUCCUGAAGACAAUACUUACAAGGUAAUUAUA